GAUAUUUUCCUACCUCAGAUGUAGACAUGCAGGGAUCACUGGGAUCACUGGGAUCACUGACCACCUCUGCAGCACCUGUGGACUGUGACUAUAGCAGGUGGCGUCGUUCCUGUUCGUACCAGACUUCAGUCACUUUAGAGGAAGUUCAGUUUCCUCUUGUGAACCAAGAUCCGACCUGGGGAUGCACUGACCUGGAGUCAGUUCUUAGAUGAAGCUGUCAACCACAACCUGCAGGGAGCCGAGACUUUAAAGGACCAGUUGUCCAGGACCGAGCGGAGCUUCAGGGCCUGACGUCCACGAUGCAGCUGCCCAUCACGUCCCUGAAGGCGCUGCAGUCGAAGUCGGCCACCACGACCCUGGGUCCGAGCUUGUGGGGGACCGUAGUGAUCUGAACCUUCAGAGUUUUGUUGGGCGGCAGCUCCCUGACGAUACUGACAACACACACAGACACACAGGGUCUCAGUGAUGAUACCCACCUGAGCACCAGGGAUUGAAGAGCACUACCAGUGUUCCCAGUAUGGUCUUUCCCAUCCUGGUCUGAGCAGACAGCGAGUACUUGCCCACAGGAGCAUCAGCUGGUGG